AUUGAACGCUGGCGGCAGGCCUAACACAUGCAAGUCGAGCGGAGCUGCGGAGGGGUGAGUAAUGCCUAUGAAUCUGCCUGGUAGUGGGGGAUAAAGUCCAGAAACGGGCGCUAAUACCGCAUACUAUCAGAUGAGCCUAGGCCGGAUUAGCUAGUUGGUGGGGUAAGGGCCUACCAAGGCGACGAUCAGUACCUGGUCUGAGAGGAUGAUCAGUCACACUGGAACUGAGACACGGUCCAGACUCCUACGGGAGGCAGCAGUGGGGAAUAUUGGACAAUGGGCGCAAGCCGGAUGCAGCCAUGCCGCGUGUGUGAAGAAGGUCUUCGGAUGGUAAAGCACUUUAAGCUGGGAGGCGUUACCAACAGAAUAAGCACCGGCUAACUUCGUGCCAGCAGCCGCGGUAAUAC
rnacentral:rRNA from 1 species